UUUUUUUUUUUUGUUUUGUUUUGUUUGGGUUUUUUUUGUUUUUUGUUUUCCCUUGUAUUCAUCCCUAGGCUUUCUAAAACACUGCUAUAUUAGGAAGUGUUAAUGAGCUAUCAAGUUCAGUUUAUCCUCUUCAACCAUCACUUUUCUUUGCAGAAAGGAAUGAUAGCAAGUAUUUGCAGCGCUGCUUCAUCCCCUACUCCACCCUGCUCUCAUCUCCAGCACAAGGAAGUUUGAGUUUCAAAUUCAUCUCACCAAGCAGGUCACCAAGCAUAAAAUGUACUUAUUAUCUUUUCUCUCCAGCAAUCAGAGAAACUUUGGCAAAAUUAACCAGCAAGCAAGCAAUUGCUCUGAUGGCUAUGGAAAUUAGCCAUUGCAUUUUAUGUUCUUGGCUUGCACAAUACAACCAAGGUGUAGUCUGAGUUCAUCUUCAGAUGAAUCUUGUUUUCAAGAUCCAGCCCUGGGCAUUGUGGGCGAGCAAAGCAGCCAUGGUAGGUAAAAGGCAUGGUAGGUGAGUUCAGAGACUGACCAGAGCAUUAUUUAACUAAAUGAUGUGGAAAUGCACCAACAGACUCUCACUUCCAUAUGUAAAGGGAUGUCUCAAGGGACUGGUUGAACUGGUUAUGAUGACUACAUAAGCAGAGAAGUGAGAAUUGAUCAUGGCAAUGCCAAAAUUUGUCCAGAAGUAUGGAUUUAUCCUGUAUUCAACCAUGUAAAAUAACAGGACAAAAAAUUUCAGCAACUGUUCUGUUUCUAGAGCAUUCUAAAUCACACCUAAAUCACACAUUUGCUUUUAAUGGCAAAGUUAAGCUGGGUAUUAACUUUCUCCUGUGGCUCCUCAGGAAAAUUGCAAGCAAUUGCCCAAGUGCAGGUUCAUCCAGGGUGUGUGCAAAGCUAACACAGAGAGCAAAGGUGUUUGGGUGUAGCUGAGGGCUUAUUUUGGUCUGGAGCAUGGCUAUUAAGAACAAAAAGCAUGAUAAGAAUGCAGUCAGAGUUCAGCGUCCUUGCCUAAGUAUACAGGACUGAGAGUUAAUAAAAACACAUUCUUACACAUGCAGAAGGUAAAUAUACACCAGCCUCCACAAAACCAUUGUAAUAAUUUCAUAACUAUGAUAAUUUAAUAAUUUUAGAGUGUAUCAAAGCUUUACAGUCAUCCUGAAUUUACAGGUUGCAUUACAGGUAGCAUCACCACUGACCUGGGUGGUGACCUGGUUAGCUGACCUGGGACUCCGGGAACAUAUAGAAAAGUGAGAGGGAUUUGAGAUUAAACUAAAAGCCUGCAUCUGCGCAGAUACUUUUACUAUAUUUUUUAAUCUAUAACAUAGUUAUUCUGCAAUGCCCAUUUUCCAAAGUCUGUAAAUUAUUUCCAACUAUGUACGUUUAGACUGUAUUUCUACAAAGAUCACGAGAUAUUGUUGCCAUCUCAUGAACUAAAUAUUUUGUAUGCUAUGUGGAUGCAGUCAAAGAAAGAAUUGAGCAGGUGUCAUGGGGUUUUUUAUGAUUUACCACACAAUAAUUUAGAAACUGCAGCUCCUGCUAAAUUCCAUUAUUUCUCCUGCAGCUUGGCUUUUAAAGGUGCCAUGCUUGUCUUACAUUUAAAGGACUUCUCCUCUGCCUUUGAAGAAUUAAGAGAAUUUACAGGAUGGAGGUUAAGUGCUAGUAGUAGGAUUUUUUAAAAAAGGGCAUUAAAACCAUUAAAAGCAAGUACCAUAAACUGCAGAUGAACAGCUAAUAAGCCAAAGAAAAAAUACCUGAUUUAGCUUUCAUACCUGAUAAUCCCUGAAUAUUUUUAAGUGACUCCAGGAUGGGGUUUAUUUUCUAGUUAUACUGCUAAUUCAGACAUGUAAGAUUAGCAUAAAAUUUCAUUUAGAAGUAUAUUUUUUUAAUAUUACUGAAUGUAUUAGAAAUUUUCCUGCAAUAUAUUACAAAUACAUAGCUGAAUUUACACUUAUAGCACCAAAAGCUCUGGGCACUCAUUAUGAAAAUGUAGAAGCACUGCUAGGAAAAGAGGGAUGUGGGCAGGAAUGAUAGGUCCACUGGGUUAAUCAAGACUGAUUCUGUCAUUAAAUAUGUAUAUCUAUCCAUAUUACAUAUACACACUCGCAUAUCUAUAGUAUGUAAUAGAAGAUACAUAUGAUAUAUAGCAUGUUGUAUACCACAUAUUACAUUACAUAUUAUGUAGUAUUAAUAUAAUACAUACUCUGGAUUCUGCUAUGCUAUGUUGUGUUACAUUAUGUUGCAUUAUUUAUAGAUAUACUUACUGUAUUUUAAUGUUUCUUUGAUAGUUGACUAUAUUAGAAACAUCCCGAAAUUCAUAGAAUCAACUUUUUCAUCAUGUUUCUGCCAGACAUGCCUUCUUUUACUGGACUGGUCUUUCCGAGAAAUCAAGUGCUUCUUUGUUCUGGAUGGAUCAACUUUAGGGAAGGUACAGGAACCACAUGCACUGUCAUGACAGAAAGUCAACUUUUGCACAAAGUUCAUCCCCUCAGUGCUUUCCGGUGGGAAUGGAUUGCAAAUGAAAGGGAAAUACAAGAUUUUGAAGACAAGAUCUAAAGCAGACAGUAACUUGCCUUCUGCAUUUCAGGAACUGCAAGGAUAUUUUGUCCUGAAUAUAUCAGCGGCCUGGGAAUGCUUCUCUUCAAGCCUAUUCUGUAAAGAUAACUCAUGCAAAUUGUGCCUUUGGGGUUAGAAAGAUGGGCUGGUGUAGAAGUAAUCAUGUUGUUGUCACUUUUCAAACAGUUAGCAGAAAUUUCAGAAAAGGUUGUGAACAAUGUGCAUCCUGUCUUAGACUUUUAUUUAAACUUUGUAUACGAUGCAUGAAAGAACCCUCUGGGCAAAUACCAUGGUAGUUCAGCCAUGGUCUGAUGGCUAUUUUUCUAAUGUGUGGUAGUCUUGAUAAGUACAUUAGACCAGGGCUGUUGAUAAAGAACUCCUGGAAGCAAACAAGUGGUAGUGCCACAUUUUUAUGGAAGGGUUGUAGUUUCCACAGCAGGCACUCCUGGCUCUUGGACGACUUUGAGCUAAUCUACGACAUGCUUAAUCUCCAUCAAUGCCCAAGCUGUGACCCAUGACAUUCUCUCAUCAGCUUGGCUUCUGUUGUUAAGUUGUACAGCCACUUAUACUGUAACACCAUGGUGUCCCUCAGCAACAUAUUCAGGCUGAAAAACCAUCAGAAGUGCAGAUCAGAUGGGGAUUUGAGCAACCUGUCUAGUAGAAGUUGUUCCUGUUCAUGGCAUGGGGGUUGGAACUAGAUGACCUUUAAGGUUCCUUCCAACCCAAACCAUCUGUGAUUCUAAGUAUGUGUAUAUAAUGUGAGCUUGAGUCUGUCCUCAAAUGUGCAUAGAACAUAUGUGUGUGUGUACAUGUGCACAAGAUUUGUGCACUUGCAUAUACUAAAAUACAUGUACACAAGAAUUGGAUACAGAAUGGACUAUUUCAAUCAAACUUUUAUAAGCAGAAGAUCUCAUAAACAAAAGCAAUGUACCAUACUAACAGUGAUGAAAAAAAGACUUUGUAGGACAGUGCUCUGGAGCCUGCAAUAUUCCCAUUACAGACUCUCAAAGCCAGCUUUUGCUCUGCCAGAAGAUACAAUGCAGGCAAGUUUUGCCCACUUUAAAAAUAUUACUCCCAGAUUUUCAGUUUCCUUAGCACAAGUUUUGUUUCUAGAACUGCUGGUAUUAUCUUAAGCUAAUACUUUGCAUCAGUCCUAUUGCUUCAUUUAAACCAAAUGACACUGCUGCUAAUCCAAUCUGUUUCUCAAUCACACAGCCAGCCUUGUGUUUAGCGUGGUCCUGUGCUAAGGUAGUUAAAUGUAGCAUGAAUGAUUAAGUGACAAUGAGUUGUCAAUAAAAAAAGAGACAUCAGCAAAAUGCCUCUGAUUUCUCACCUAGCCCUGGAUUCCUCAUGGAGAAGCUUCCUGUGGGUUUGGGAAAAAUGUUUAUUUCUUCCAAGCAACAGUAACCAAAAAGAGACCAUGAUGGAUUUUGCAAACAGGGUACAUGUUUUAUAGGUAUAUGCUCUCGCUUGUGUCAAGAAAGCCAAGAAAAGUGGAAGAGGGUUGCAGAAUGGCCCAUGGGCUGCAUUUUCUUCUUGUCCUCUGCAGCACAGAAUGACCUGAAAACACCUGGCACUGAUGCUACUUCAUUCUGAAGGCAAGUAUUUGCUGUACUUGCAAGUAUUUGUAGAGUACUUGCAGGGUGAGAAGAAGUUCUUGCUACCUGUUGCCAGACCAAAGAAUUUGCCCAAGGAGAUGAAAGACUUCAUUAUUCUUCCUCUCUCAGAAGAAGAGAUAUAAUGACAUACUUCCAGGAUAGCCCCUGCAAUAAAUGAAUAAAUAAAGAAAUAAAUACAUACAUGUGGUAAGUAAAUUCACCACACAUACAUACAUAACUUUAACAAAAAAUCUUUAUGAUAUGUAUUUACUUAAAUUGCAUUUAGGGACACUGGUCAGAUCAGAAUGGAGAUUAUGCUCUGAGAGCAUUAAAUCAAAAGUAUCCUACUUGUCUCUGUGGAAUUGCAUGUGCAAAAUACAGAUAUAUUACUUGCAUCUGACCAACGGUUACUAUUACAAUAAACAGCUGGAAGUCAGCCCAUGUUUGCCUUUCACUGCUGAUCAUCUUUCUAUUCAUCUUCUAUUCUUUCAAGGCACACUGAAAAAUACUUUGAAAAAUUAUUAGCUGAUAACUGCACAUAUACUGAAACUCAUGUCUAUGUCUGAAAAAUAUCAUAGUCCUUCCCUGCACCUAGAAUUGAAAAUAAUUGUCCUAUACAUAACAUUAAGAUUUAUUUUAUCAACAUUGCUGAUAAUUUGUUUUUAUUUUACACAGUAUUCUAAGAAGCAAUCCUUGUGUUGGGAGCACUAUGAAAAUUGCUUUUUUUUUUCACCUUUCACCUAUACCUGUUCUGGAUAAAUGAGAACAAAAAGCCCACGUCUUAUCUUCCAAGAUAGGGAGUAACAUGAAUUUAUGGGGUAAAUAAGACCUUUUAUAGGUGCCUAACAGUUGUAGGGGACAGGUCUCCAGUCAGAAGUCAGGAUGAGACAGUGAAAGGAUAUUCAUGGAGCUGGUCUUAGACACAGGAGCAGCCAGUAUCUUCUUAGUCCAGGGGCUGGCUAGACACAUACCUGAGGGCAUUACUUCCAUUUCCUAGCAUUUGUUAAAUGAUGAAAUGGAAUUAAAUUACAACCAAAUAUGAAGUAUAGAGACUUGAAAAUAUUCCUCCCCAAAUUGUUCUGCUUUCAUGGAGCACUGGCUCACGGUUUUUUAGCCAGUUACACUUUCUGACAUCAUUUUAAAGGCAGUGACUUUGAUUCACUCCCAUCUCCAUGUCAAUAGGAAGACUUUUAUUUUCACCAGAAUAUUUUUUGUAUCUUCCCUUCCUGUGUCAGUAUUUGGAAGUAACACAAAGGAAGAAUAUUUCCAGUACUCAAUUGUACGUCAUGGAGCAUGCUGACCUGGUUUAAUAUGUGGAAGUCAACAGCUAAUGAUCUCCAGAUUAAAUGAAAAUAAUGAUACUAAGGAUAACAGGUUGGCACCUUUAAGAUCUCAAAAUACAAUACAAAGUAUUUGCUAACAGUAAAGACAAUAUAUAAAGUAUUUUGCAUUUUUUAAAAUUAAUAAGUAUGGGUACUUAUAUAAACUUAAAGAGCAGUGAUUCUUGAACAAAUUAACUGAAAAAAAAAUUAAAUUGUGUCUGUUCCUAAAUGCAAAUAAAAUAUGCACAUAGAAACUCCUAGAGCACCUUGAAACAAAAUUAAGAAAAUGAAGGCUCUGCAAUACAAAGUGUGAUCAUCAAGAGCUUUCAUUGUACUCUAACUGGGGAGGGUUCAUUUUUGUUAAUACCUUCUGGUGCACUCAUCAUAUAACGGACUGAACUUACCUGACUUGGGCAACUGACUGGAUGAAUUAACUAUGUUAUUUGCUAGGCAGAUAUGUUUCAAAGUCUUUGUGCAAUAAAGAUAAAAAAUUAGGGUUUUUUUUUAAAUUUGAGAGCUUGAGACCUGUGUAGGGUGUGGGUAUUUUUUUCUCCUUUUAAGUUUUAUUAAUCUUUCCUUAGAAGUACGAAGAGACAUGCUUAUGUUCAAAAGUUUUGCUAUACUGAGAAGAAAUGAACUGAAUUAUUACUUAGUGAGAUAACACUGUUACAGUUUCAUUGAACUCUUUAAAAGCUUUUCCACGAGAAUUAUACCUGAAAUUGUUUAUUUUAACGUGGCAUUUAUUUAAACUGUUUAGGCAUUAAUUUGUUUUCUGUUUUAUGAGUGUAUUUUCCUUUUGUGUUCUUCCUUAGGUUCAGAUUCAUAGAUGGUUACAACAUAUGCCAUUAGAAUUGGGAAACUGAAAAGGUCAGUGUUAGAUAUAGCCAAACCUCAAGAAUGAGAACCAUUUUUCAAAAAAAUCUGGAAUAUAUUACCUCUCCCUGAGCUCUUUAAAUGGGGAGCUUUCCAGAUCUAUUAAAAAAGAUGUGCAUACCAGGCUAUUGCCUGUCAUAGAUCACCAUUCACCAUGGGUGACAGUGCAAUAUCUUCUCCUUAGCCAGACUUGACCUAGAAUGACCAAGCAGCUGAAAAAGCUGACAUGUAGCCGGACCAAGAUAUUGUCAAUGUCUUGGGUACCACUGUGGGGCACAGAGGCUUGAAGACAGUCUAGUAUGUGGGUUGCUUCAUGUCUUUAAAAUGGUCAUUUUACUUCUCAUUUCCAACUGGGGACAUAGCACCAUGCCAUCUGUGAAGCAAAAGCAGCAGCUGAGCAGGGGAGGAAAGGGCAAGGGGGAAGACAAAAGUUUGUCUGCAAAUCUUUUAAACAUGAGCUUAUUGAAAUGUUGACAUCUAUGUAGAAACAGCCAAGAACAAACCAAUCUUCUUCUUGAAGAAGACAGCUGUGGUCUUUCUGGUAAGCUGCAGCAUGUCUUUGUGGGGAUAAAAAUGUUCAUGAAAGAUUUUAUUAAAUGUACAUAUAUAUAUAUAUAAUAUCUUUAGGACCUUGGUAUUUCUAUGUUAGCUUUUAUUUGGAUUUUUAAGAUUAAUUUUAUUUCUAUUUGCACCAUUCCAGAGGCAAGGGGGAGCAAAACCAAAGCCACAACAUCUAAGUCAUGGUCCAAGCCAAGGCUUAGAGUGGCAAUCAAAUCAGAGUCAUGGUCUGUCCCACGUUACCUGGGUAUGAUAGCAUCCCCAGCAUCUGUCCUGCUUAGAAUGCUUGGGUUAUUACAAAACACUCCUGCUAAUAAAAACAAGCAUCCCAGAACAGCCAUCAGUUUUAUCCUCAUAGAUGGUGGAUCAUAUAUAACUUACGCUAAUAUUUUUCCAUUUCUAAAUCACAGCACAUCCAUAAUUUUCCAUUUCUAAAACAUAAUGCAGAAAUCACUGUAAAAGAUAAAAUCAGACAAGAAUAUUGCAGGUGAAUAAUGUAAUUUCUUUAAGCAUCUUUUGUAGCACUUUCUAAGCAUUAUUUUAAUUUAUUUAAGGUAAUACCAAGCAGUGAAUGUGUUCUUUCUGUUCCACAGCAAAUCUGAUUAGAAAGCCAGAUAAAAUUAAGAGGAUGCUAUUUUGACAUGUUAGUCUUUUUUUUCAAUCUCACCUCCUGCAGUCUCAAUCCCCCUGAACAUCUUAAUCAGCUCAGGUUGGGUCUGCUUCUCCUUUCCACUCCACAACUGCUAUGGCCUAGUGAACAUGUAAUUGUUGAACAGCAAAGAUACAACCUCUGCUGCCUCUCUCCCUCCUUUUCCUUACAUAGGCUCCACAAAGGUCCCUGCUCAACCCCAGAAAGGCAACACCUCUUCUCCCAAGGCUGAAACAUCAAAGGCAGGUGAGUCCUGGCUGAGCUUUUCUUGCUUCCAUACUGGCCCCUUUCCUGCUGCUGCCACUUACCCUUAUCCAGGUGAGAUCAGGCACCAUGGCCAAAGCCCUGCCCAGCAGCAGGACAGCAAGCAGGUUCAGCAUCUGCCUUUGGCUGCAGCACAAACUAACCACCCCGCUUCUCCAGAUCUCACUUAUGCCUUUCAUAAAUAAUCAUGGUCUCUUCACUGUGUUUUUGAGAUCUGGGAAGGAAUUUGAAGGAGUUAUUGAUGCCAUCUGUAGGCACUGCCAAAACAGGUUAUUGUGUAUGCAUGGACUUAAUCCAGCUUUCAGAUGAUAUGGAGCUAACAUGUAAACAGACCCAGCCACAUCCUUAUAGGCCUCUGUUGCUUUACCUUCUGUAAUGAUACGUCUGCAGGAAUGCAAGAUGAAACAGAGCUUAUGACAGAGACACCCUAUGAAAACUUGGGCAUGCCACAUACAAAAUUAUUUGCCUGUUUGUAUUUCGUAAGACUAUCCACAGUACUAUUGCACUAUGUAUAUUUAAAAAACCUAAGGAUGACCCAUGAUUAAUGAACAGAGUUGACAUCUGGAAACCUGAGAUCUGAAUGAUGGCUCUCCCAGGAUUUCUAUGCAACUUGUACCGACCUCCUGCAGAUAAAUAUUCCAAAACCAGUGGCCUGACUUUAGAUACCCUAAUAAAGUUGGUCUGUUUGCCAGAGACACUGAGUUUAGUUGCUGCAUAUAAGCUAUAAAAAAACUGUGGGUACUCAAUAAUUCUGAUAAUCAGGCUGCCGUUUUUCUUUUAGGUUACUAAAUUGAGAUACAUCUCAGCACAAUUAGAAAUUCAUCUUUGUAAACCUUGUUAUCUGUUUUGAUGAAAUUUGCCCUUGAGAAAUCUUACAAAAGCAUAUAAAACCUAGAUGAAUAUCAAGUUUAGGACCAGGAAUAGGAUAUUUCUUGUCUGCGUUUAAUUGUAAAACAGAGCUAUGGUUAUUUACCUGAUUCACCAAAGGCAUUAAUAAGCCCAUCCAUUAAAUUUGUACAUUGCUAAUCUUCUGUUUGUGGUUCUCCAAGAUCAAGGACUUUUUGAUCAAUUGAAACUGUCCCCUGAGCCUAUCCUCCACACCAAUGAUAUCUUCUCUUUUUCAUGUUCCAAGGAUUGUCUUUCAGUCUUUGAAGUCAACCUGAACAUUUUCUGUUGUGUUCUGAGUGUUAUCAUUCAUGAUUCUCAAAGGUAAACCAGACAGAAGAUAGAGUUAAACAAGUUUGGAAGACUAAGGAGGCAGUAAAAAGAAAGACACUGAUAACUGGAAAAGAUAAAUAUGAAUGAAUGAAAUGCAAAAGGUUAAUUUCAUAUUUCAUAAGAGCAACAAAAUACCAGAGAAGAAAAGUUCAGAAAUGAAAAAUAUCCAGAAAAUCAAGGAUAAAUGUCCAGAACUAGUUUUUUGCUUUGCUUUGCUUUGCUUUUUGAUAGAAAAUGCCAUAUAGCCUAUUAAAACAUUUAGGAUUUAAAUGGUAAAAAAAAAAAAAAA
rnacentral:lncRNA from 1 species